GUACACGCUGUGACUAGCAUAUCAAUAAGCGGAGGAAAAGAAACUAACAAGGAUUCCCCUAGUAACGGCGAGUGAAGCGGGAAGAGCUCAAAUUUGAAAUCUUAAAGGGUUUCCCUUUACGAAUUGUAGUUUAAAGAAGUGUUUUCUGUUGAGGUUUUGGUAAAAGUUCUUUGGAAUAGGACAUCAUUAGAGGGUGAGAAUCCCGUAUUUGACCUUUACUUUCAACUUUGUGAUACACUUUCAAAGAGUCGGAUUGUUUGGGAAUGCAGUCCAAAAUGGGUGGUAAAUUUCAUCUAAAGCUAAAUAUUGGCGAGAGACCGAUAGCGAACAAGUACCGUGAGGGAAAGAUGAAAAGAACUUUGAAAAGAGAGUUAAACAGUACGUGAAAUUGUCAAAAGGGAAGCGUUUGACACCAGUGUUGUUUUUCUGAAAAUCAAUUAAAGAACUGUUUAUGCUAAGCUGUUUAGACUUUAUCAGCUAUACUGUUUAGUUUUGAGCUUUUCUUUAAUGCACUUUUCAGUUAACAAGUCAACAUCGAUUUCUUUUGCUGUAAAAAAGCUUGAGGAAGGUGGCUUGAGAUUCGUCUUAAGUGUUUAUAGCCUCUUGCCUAUGCAGUCGGAGAGAUUGAGGUCUGCAGCGUAGAUCCUUCGGGGCUAAAUGCAUUUGUGCUAAGUUAUAGCAUUUUAUAGACAACUUGUUGACUAUGAUUUGUCUUGUAGCUUACUCGCUUAUGUUAUUUUACCUACGCUUAGGAUGUUGACGCGCGUGUGUGCGUG
rnacentral:rRNA from 1 species